GACACACCAGGCACACCUGGAUGAGUGUGGCACCCGUCCCUGCCUGUGUCACCUGUGUCCCCAGGUGUCACACCUGGCCCUGGGUGUGUCACACCCAUCCUUGUCCCCCCAGCCCAGGUGUGUCACACCUUUGGUCCGGUGUGGCUGUCCCAGGUGUCACACCUGUCCCCAAGGGUGUCCCAGGUGUCUCUGAGUGUGUCACACCUGUCUGGCUGUGUCACACCUGCCCAGGAGUGUCACAGGUGUCUCUGACAAUGUCACCUGUGUCCCCAAGUGUCACACCUGUCCCUGACAGUGUCCCACCUGCCCCCGAGUGUGUCACAGGUAUCCCUGACAGUGUCACACCUGUCCCCAAGUGUGUCACAGGUGUCUCUGAGAGUGUCCCACCUGUCCCUGGGUGUGUCCCACCUUUCUGGCUGUGUCACACCUGUCCCUGUCCCCGCUGCCCAGGUGUGUCACCUGUCUGUUCCUGUCCCACCUGUCCCCAGGUGUGUCCCACCUGUGUCACACCCGUCCCUGUCCCCAGGUGUCCCCCCUGCUCACCUGAGCCUCUCUCUGUGCUGCCGUUUGUGGGGGAGGGGACACAGCCGGGGGCGUGGCCUUGGGGGCGUGGCCUUGGAUCCACCCGGAGUGGGCGUGGCCAAAGGGGUGGGACGGCUCUGGGUGUGUCCCAUUGGUGGGCGUGGCCCUGACCCCACCCAAGAGGUGACCCAGGUGUGACCCUGAGGGUGACCCAGGUGUGGGCGUGGUUAACGGGGCGUGGCCCAGGUGUGGGCGUGGCCGGUGGGCGUGGCCCGGCACACCGGCAGGUUCGUUAAUAGUCAGCAGCAGUGUAAUUAAAAUUUUGUUAAUGAAUGCCUCGUUAAUGACUCUCCAUUGAUGAGACCCUGUUAAUUUAACCCCUAAUUAACCCCCUGUUAAUGAACCCCCACAAUGAGCCCCGUUAAUGAGCUCCCCAGUAAUUAACCCCAUAAUGAACCCUUGUUAAUGAGCCACCAGUAAUUAACCCAAUAAGGAGCCCCCGUUAAUGAGACCCCAUUAAUUAACUUGAUAAGGAACCCCCAUUAAUGAGCUCCCCAGUAAUUAACCCCAUAAUGAACCCUGUGUAAAUAAACCUCCAUUAAUGAACCCCCA
rnacentral:lncRNA from 1 species